UUUAACUACCCAAAUCAAGCCCAACUCGCUAUGGCUGAAGCGUGAUCUUCCCCGACGAUUCCUCUUUCCCGACGAUCAAAUUCUCAGCACUUCACCGUCACCGUAAACCACUCUUGCUUUAAUGGUUUCGUUCCACCUUCCCCUCUAUCUCCUUCUAUAUAAAGCCAACCCUAAUUGAGACUAUGCAGAAACAUCUACAUCUAUCCGGCAUGAAAUACACCCGAGAGUCUCCCCUCCCCACCACCAAGUCUCCCGUCGCCGUUCCUCUCUCCAAUUGAAAAUGACAGCUCACCCUCAUAUACAUGUCAGCAUCCAUGGCCACAAAAACCGUGAAACCUGUUGCGAUGCGUCUGCAUUUUUUUCUGUAAUUAGGAGAAAGGAAGCAAGAGCAGGAACGAUGUUUCAGUGUCAAGGUUUUGGUGAAAACCAGAAAGGAUCAAGUAUGUUUCAGUGUCUUGAUAUCAUUUGCUCCAAACAAUUCCAUAGGUUCUAAUCAUCUCAACCUAGAGAUUGCUAAGAUGAUCAGAGGUCACUGGCGACGAAGAAGCCUGCAAUUUUGUCAGAGUAUCCUAAGGCAUUGACCAUGAUUAGACAAAUUUUCAAGUAUUAUUAUGGAGCUGAUGUUAUUGUGGGCGUGACUAUGAUGACCGAAAUAUUGAAGCCAACUUUGAAUUUAUCAUGAAACAAGAUAGAUAAAGAAGAAAAAGAGUGAGAGAGAUUGAGAAGCAGAAGGUGAUUUAGGUAACGUUAUCAAGGCCAGCCCAAUAUGAAAGUUGCUUUCCUGAGCCAAGAGUUCGAGGUUUCCAUGAGCAGGACUGUGAAGGAAGAGUUCAUGCGUGCUUUCAAGGAAGAGAUGGAGAUUACCGAGAAGCUGGAGAAAAAUCAGAAGGCUAUUCAACGGCCUUUUGAUUGAAACAGCAGAAAGAGAUUGAAUCAACUAAGGACUUAAUUAGGCUUGGCGCGGGUUGAAACUUUGGAUGUGUUCAACAACUGCCGAAAAGAUUAGGUGGUUGAAAUGUUUCAAUGAUUUCCUAAGCACAACAGCUCCAGUAACAUGAUUAUAUGAUUCUAGCUCACGUUUCUUGCUGUGGAAGAGGGAAUCUUGCUAGACAAUAUCUUCUUACCCAGACGUGAUGAGCUGCUUCCAUUUCAAGAAGAUAUCAAUGGCGGACUAAAGAACAAGUGUUGGUGUCUGAAAUAACAGAGAGAAAGUACUUGCAGAAAAAGUAAGCACAUUAGGUAAUAGACAGUUGAUGAGAAAGAGAAAAAGUGGGAAGGUUGAGUCGGGGAUCAAUGGCAAAGACACUACGGUUGAAGAAGAAGAAGCGGAGAAGACUGAUAUUAUCCUAGACGUAAUUUCCCGGUUGACAAUGAUGACAUGCAGUUUUAGUUUUCUAUCACCUCUUUGAGUUUUAUAUCGCCUCUUUGUAUUGAUAUAAAUUAGUUUUUUCGUCUGUAAAGCUUGCUUAUUUGCAAAAGAGUUCCAUAGUUUAGUGUCCUAAUAAUAUCUUCCAUUAAUCUUA